ACGAACGCUGGCGGCAGGCCUAACACAUGCAAGUCGAGCGCCCAGCAAUGGGAGCGGCAGACGGGUGAGUAACGCGUGGGAACCUUCCCAAUGGUACGGAAUAGCUCAGGGAAACUUGAGGUAAUACCGAAUAAGCCCGAAAGGGGAAGAUUUAUCGCCAUUGGAUGGGCCCGCGUAGGAUUAGCUAGUUGGUGAGGUAAUGGCUCACCAAGGCGACGAUCCUUAGCUGGUUUGAGAGAAUGACCAGCCACACUGGGACUGAGACACGGCCCAGACUCCUACGGGAGGCAGCAGUGGGGAAUCUUGGACAAUGGGCGCAAGCCUGAUCCAGCCAUGCCGCGUGAGUGACGAAGGUCUUCGGAUUGUAAACCUCUUUCAGCUCCGACGAAGCGAGAGUGACGGUAGGAGCAGAAGAAGCACCGGCCAACUACGUGCCAGCAGCCGCAGU
rnacentral:rRNA from 1 species